CCACUGCUUAUCUCUCCUCUUGAUAUUUCCCAGACCAAUCUCUCCUUUCUUACCCUGCCUUAUCCUCUUCCCUUCCCUCUUCCUCUCCCUCCCUUAUCCCCUUCCAAGGGCGGUUGCGCUGGCCGGAGCUCCAUGGCCAGGGGCCGCGCGGCGGGCUGGAGCUGCGGGCCAGGAGUGGCGUGGCCGGCCAGGAGGGGCUUGGCGAGCAACGGUAGCUCGAGCCCGCGGCAAGCAGCACCGAGGCGCUAAGCGGCGGUGGAUUGAGUCCGCGGCAAGCAGCGCCGACGGUGAGCUGCGGCAGCGACAACCCCUCUAUCCACUGCGGCAAGCAGCUCCGGCUUUCUUCUCCUUUUUUCCAAGUCCUAGGAGGAGUAGCAGUGGAGAUUGGGAUAUUGGGUGUUUGUGUUAAACUUUGUGCGGUGGUGCCAUGGCUUCUUCAUUUUCAGUCAAGUUUUGUGCGGGCGCAGCUCCUGUCGGGGGUGGCCAGGGCACAGCUCCCCGCAGUGGCGAAGCCGGUGACCGCAAGCAGGGCAAGUGCGGGUACAUGCUUUUUUUAUUAUUUUUUAGUAGUGUUUGGUCCCGGUUGAUUAAAGAUUAAUUUUUUUUUCCAGUUAUCUGACCCGGGACUAAAAGCCGGGUAGUCCCGGAUUGGCGGUCCCGGUUAAAAAAUUGGGACAACUAAGAUUUUCCAACCGGAACUAAAGGGCAUUUCUGUACUAGUGGAUCCUAAUACCUCAUUCACUGUUAAACUCAACUCUUAAUCAUUCUUAACUAAAAACAUAUAGAAUAUGAGCCCAGCUUUUUUGAAUCCGAUUUUUAAAAUAUCUAGGCUAAUUUGUAGUCUCUUUAACAUCAUUAUUAAAAAAGUAAGUAAGUAUGUAUGUAUGUCCAUCCUUUGUCCUGAGCCAUUUGGAAAAAAUUCUGGAUUUGAAAAAAAUCCCAACAAAGAAUGCAAUUCUGGAAAAAAGUGGAUCCACCAUGGAGCAGUUAUCCAACCAGCACGGUCUCCACGUGGCAUUAGCUCCACCGACCCCAACUGUUCCUUUCCCCAUCGCUUCUCUCAUCUCAUCCACCGCUCGGAGUUCCUGGUCGCCGCCCCUCACUACAAAUCCCGCGCGCCACCCCUCUUUGCUCAUGGUGGUGAGCGAUGGUUCCGAAUCCGGCGGGAGUACCGGCAGCACCCGCAGGAGCUAGCCCGGCUGGGCCCGAUUGAUUAGAGGCUGGAGUGCUGGCGGCGGCCGCUGGAGCCAGCCUGGCGCGGCAGCUCUGGGCGGAUUAGGGGCACGCCUCGCUGGAGGCGCCGGGUGCGCGGCAAGGCGGCUGGACCGGAGACCCCUUACGAUGGACGACCCCUUGCCUGCGCGUGGACUUCAACGGCCAGCUCUACAUUGCCGAUACGGAGGACCAAGGAUGCCGUAUUGGUGGUGCCGGAGACGCCGGAGGAGGAUUGGCCUGUUGCCGUGGAGCAGGAGGUGGCUGCCGUAGUUGGGUCUGCUGUGCCUGUGGUCGAGCUAAUGUUGGAGCAGCCUGUGGCCGAUGAAGAACACCAGGCCGCUGCGCAUCGUCGCUUGGGGUAUUAGUCCUUCUCUUAGUGGCACACGAGCUCUUGCAAGUUAGUUUUUGAAUUGACUUCCUUGCCAUACAUAUCUGCAAUUUGUGUGUGCGCGCGCCAUGGCUAGGAAUGUGCUUACUGAUUGGCGCCGGACUCUAUUCAAUGAAGACAAACAUAGAUCAAUGCAAUUGGGGAUGCAGAUAGGGGAAGAGCAACAUGCAAUGGACAACAUCAUGAAGGACAGUGUCGACGAGAAGUUGUCCAUCUCCGAUGCGAGACAGAUGACGAGGGAAUGACAACCUGGGAUGUGCAUGACAGCGACGUACCUGGUCAUUCCCAGGUGGAUCAUGAUGCCAACCUCAAAGAAUUGGUAACGGAUCAUCACACCGCCUGCAACAAAUGAAACGGUGGUUGGGGGACCGUGCAGUUAGAGGGGUAUUUGAGGUCAUUUGCCACCUCCACUAAUCUAUCUGCAAAAAAAAAAGCUAAAAUUGCAUUCUUCACGGGACGGAGGAAGUAAAUAUCA